CGCAUAGUGAAAAUCAAUUCUCAGAGACCAAAAUUGCCAAGCAUACGUGACGGAACUGUAGGGAAAAAGGGCAUAACUUUAAUCUUCAAAGAAGCUUAAAAAUAGCUCCACAGUUAUUAUGCAUGAGGCCUGACAAUUGACAUUUCUCAUUUUGGCAGCAUUCACCUACAGCACCCUAUCAGCAACUGAACACAUUCAUCUCUGGAAUAAAUGAUUAAUGAGCUGCCUAUCAUUUCCACUCCUUUUGUACCAAGUGGUGGAGGCUUCAGUUGAUCAUAUUGCAGCCAUCAACAUCAUUACUGAAAUUGAUUCUGCCACUAGAGGGUUGUGCUAGGAUCAUCAAUUAGCAUUUAAAUUAAAAAGUUAUGGCAUUAAAAAUAACAAAAAAAUAAUCCCUUCUGAGUCACUCUGUCAGACCUGGUAAGGUGAUUUUGUUUUUUUGCUCAUCAGACAGCAUCACAAAACCUUAGAUUGAGGAAGGAAGCAUGGAAGGAUUGUUUUUGUUUCAAGAACAACCCUCUAAGAUUUCCAAACUUUUUAUUAAUCACUGUCAUGUUCCUUGAAAUGCAGAUUUAUGAAAUGCUACAAUUUGCAUUCAAUAGUGACCAAUGAAGUUGCCAAAUUAUUUCCUUCAGACAAAAAGUCAAAGGAUAGAGUUAGGCAUUUUUGAAAGGUCAGAAUUUAUCCAGAAAGGGGGAAGUUAGAGGAAGGAGAUUUACAAAUGAUACUGAGAUACAGCAAAAUAAAGUUUUUCUUAUAUUUCAGCAGGCAGAUGUGAGAAUGAAGUGAAAAGAACAUCAUCAUUUAGAUGUCGGGAUGAUGUGGGCUGCAUUUCUAAAACAGAUGGCAGAUAAUGUGGGUCUCCAUAGUCCUACAAAAAAGUGACAGAUUGUAGUUUUGGUAAAAUGAUACAUCAAGGAAAAUGAAUGGUACUUGGAAUAGGUAUUUUAGCAUCUCUUUCUGCUCCUGGGACCAAGUUCCUCAAGUUCUCAAUAUUACUGAGCUUAAACUCCUUCCUCAUCUAUGUUCAUCUUCCAGCAUGGCUUUCUCCUAUUUCCUCAUUGUUUCCUCUCUCUUCCCCUGUUGAAUUUCAAAUUCAAAUAUAAACAGUUGGUUUUGGUUUUAUCUGCCUCUGAAUUAAGACACUACCUUUACUACAUUGUAUUGGUCACCCAAUUGAAGUGCAUGUGCAUUUUCUUCAGAGCUGAGACGCAUUGAUUAUACAACAAAAUGGAGCUAUCAUAGGUCCUCAAUCCAGCUGCUCUGUCCUAUACUUGAUUAAUAUUCUUUCCACAAUCUGUUGGUAGUGGUAUUGUGACUUUUCAUUUCUGUCUUUGUGAAAUUUUAAGAAGAAGCUAACAAAGGCUGCUUUGAGGACUGCUAAGUAGAGGACAUUUUUACCUAACAUUGAUUAAUGUAGAUAGCUGAGACUUACUUGUAUUUUGAAAAAUGGGAAGAAAAUGGUCAUGGUAAGAAGCACUGGGUGAUAAGAAAAACACAUAGUAACAAGAUUUCUACAUGUGAGCCAAUAGCAAACUUCCUCUAUGUGUUAAAAUUCUCCAAUGAGAAAUACAGCAACUCGUUUCAGACACCAUGAGAUGGACAGGUUAGGCCAAGUUGUGCUUGACCUAGUGGUGAAUGACCACACACUUCUUUACCUUUGGCACAAGUGGUUCAUCAAUCUCCCACUUUCCCUCAGAUCCUUUUUCAGCGUAGUAUUCUAGGCACCAACUGCCAACUGGCCAGUGUUCACCUGUUUGUCAUUUUCAGCUUAACUACCAAUUUGGACAAUUGGAGAGGUAUUCGAACCGGAUGGUAAAGCUGAAAUUAGAUCUCAAGUCUCUUCACUGAAGUCUAGUACUCUUAUAUUUCAUAGACAAUGAACUGGACCAGAUGAAUUCUUCUGUUAGUAUGAUGUAUAUCAUAUGAACUUCCAAUAAUUUUAAAGCUAACUUUUUAUUAUAAAAAUGAUACAGGCUCAUGGUAAAGUCACUGUGGGAAACAGUAUGGUGUUUCUUCAAAAAAUUAAAAAUAAAAUUACCAGGCAGAUGUGGUGGCUCACACCUGUAAUCCCAGCACUUGGAGAGGCCAUGGUGGGAGGAUUGCUUGAGCCUAGGAGUUCAAGACCAGCCUGGGCAACACAGCGAGGUCCCAACUCUACAAAAACAAAUUCCAAAAAUUAGUUGGGCAUGGUGGAGCAUACCUGUAGUCUCGGCUGAAGCAGAAGGAUCACUUGAGCCCAGGAGUUCAAGGCUUCAACAAGCCAUGCUUGUGCCAAUGCACUCCAGCCUGCGUGAUAGAGUGAGACCCUGUCUCAAAAAAAAAGAAAAAAAAAGAAAGAAAAAGGAAUUACCAUAUGAUCCAGCAAUUGCACUUCUGGGUAUAUACUUAAAAUAAUUGAAAGCAAUCUUUUGAAAUGGUCUCAAAGAGUUAUUUGUGUACCAAUAUUUAUAGCAGCAUUAUUCACGAUAGUUAAAAUGUGAAAGCAACUCAAGUGUCCUGGACAGAUGAAUAAGGAAAAUGUGGUAUACAUAUUCAAAGCAAUAUUAUUCAGCCUUAUAAAGAAAGGAGCUGGAUAUGGUGGCUCACGCCUGAAAUCCCGACACUUUGGGUGGCUGAGGUAGGAGGAUUGCUUGAGGCUGGGAGUUCAAGAAGAGCCUGGGCAACAUGGUGAGAUCCCAUGUCUACACAAAAUACAAAACUGGGCCAGACAUGGUGGCACAUGCCUGUAGUCUUAGCUACUCGGGAGGCUGAGGUGGAAGGAUUGCUUGAACCUGAGAGGUGAAAGCUGCAGUGAGCUAUGAUCACACCACUGCAAUACAGCCUGAGUGACAGAUUAAGACCCUGACAAAAAAAAAAAAGGAAAUUCUGAUAUGCUGAAACAUGAAUAAAUUUUGAGGAUAUUAUGCUAAGCAAAAUAAUCUAACCAAAAAGACAAAUACUUUAUGAUUCCACCUGUAUAAGGUACUUAGAUUGGUCAAAAUCAUAGAAAGAGAAAAUAGAAAGGUGGUAGCCAGAGACUAGAGGGGAGGGAAUGGGGAGUUACUGUUUAAUGGAUACUGAGUUUCAGUUUUACACAAUGAAAUGAGUUUUGGAGAUGGAUGGUGGUGAUAGUUGCACAUAAUUAUGAAUGUAUUUAAUAUCAUUGAAUUGUAUGCUUAAAAAAGGUUAAGUUGGUAAAUUUUAUAUUAUACGUAUUUUGCCACAAUAAAAAAUUGGGAAAAAAUGCAGGCUUAUCACAAGAAAAAAAAAUUACAUAAAGUAUAAAGUGGAAGUAAAUAUCUUCUUAGCAGUUUGCCCCAUUAUCUUCCUGCUCUAUGUGUCACCUCCCUAAACGCCAACUCUCACUUUCUAGGAAAAGCUGCUUUAAAGUCUGUACACAUGUAAGGAAAUGUUCUUUACAUAAACCACAUCUGGCUGUGUUUGUCUGCGUUCAUCUUUGCCUCUCUCUCUUUGCCUGGAUAAGAUCAUACUGCAUAAACUCUCCUCUAAUGGUUUUUUCCUAUCUAAAAUAUGUAUUUUGAAGAGUUUCCCUUAUUAGCCUAUAUAUAUCUAAUUUUUAAAAACUGACUGAAUGGUGUGUGAUUAGAUGUCUAUAUCUCCCAUUGAUAGAAAUGUAGGGUAUUUCCAUUCGUUUUUACAAAUGAUACUGCAGUGAGCAUCUUUGAGUAUAAAUCUUUGGGUACUUGUGAGUGAGUUAAUUUCUCAGAUAAAUUAGGUGGAAUUAUGAGCCAAAAGUUAUGUGUAUUUUACAUUUUGAUAGAUAUUGACAAAUAGCCCUCCAAAAGUUGAACUAAUUAUCUCCCUAUAAACUAAACAGCAUAGGAAAGUGCCUGUUUUCCCAACACCUUCAACGCUAAGCAUUAUAAAAUUUCUACUUAUAGCCAUGUAGUAGAUGAAAAUAUUGAAAAUAUUUUAAUUUACAUAUAUUCAAUUCUGAAUGAGGUUAAACAUAGAUUUUAUAUGACUAUUCACUGUUUGUAUUUAUUUACAAUGCACUGCUUGUUCAUUUCCAUGCUCAAUUUUAAUGGUGUUUACUUUGAGGAAAAAAAAACACCUAUAUGGAAAAGCCCUGAAUUAUAUGUAAUUCCCUCUUUCUACACCUUUUCUGCUAUAAUUUGAAAGUUAGCUUUGGUCAGUUUUUUCACUGUCACUGUUUCUUUCCUCCCUCUCCUCCCUCUCCUCCCUUCCUCCCUUCCUCCUUUCCUUUCUUCCUUCCUUCCUUGACAGGGUCUUGCUAUAUUGCCCAGGCUGGAGUGCAGUGGCUAUUCACAGGUGUGAUCCUAGUGCACUACAGCUUUGAACUCCUGUCUCAGCCUCCUUAGCCGCUGGGAGUACAGGUGCAUGCCACUGCACCCAGUGCCUUGUUUCUUUUAUGAUAAUCAUUUCUCUUUCAAUGUUUAACCAGAUUCUCCACACCUUGACAGCAAUUAGGGUGAGGAGGACUAAUAGUACUGCCAAAGGCCCCUGAUGGUCUUGUUUCAGAGAUAAUUUUUGUUACAACAUUGCUUAGCCCAUUAUGCUUUAUAAUCUUCUUGUCAGUAACUGUGUGUCCUUGGUAUUCAUCUUGUUUCUCAGUCAUUUCUACUAUAGAAAGAAUCAUAUUUUCGAGAAUAACAAAAUGUCUGAUACCCUGUUUUCAGGAUACCUUCAUAUACUAACAGACCAAAGUGACUGGACUUGGCCAAUUCAGUUACAAUGAAUCCUAUUGAAAAAUGAACCUGGUUUACCUGAGGGCUAACCAUUCAGGAACAACUGUUUAUCAUGAAGACUUUUUAGUUUAAUUUUCAAAUAGGAAAUGUAUUCACGUGUGUAUUAGGUUCUCCAGAGAAGCAGAACCAGUAGGAUACACACAUACACACACACACACACACACACACACACACACACACACACACACGGGGAUUAUGGGAACUGACUUCAUGACUAUAGAGGCUGAGAAGUCCCAGGAUGCGCCAUCUGCAAGCUGAAGAAUGAGGACAGCCAGUGGUGCAAUUCAGUCCAAUUCCGAGGUCCUGAGAACCAGGGUAGCCAAUGAUAUAUCUCUCAGCUGAAGGCAUGAGAACAUGUGUGUGUGCGUGUGUCUGUGUCUGUGUGUGCGUUGGGGGGUGCAAGUCCUGGAGUCCAAAGGUCCAAGAACCAAGAGCUUUGAUGUCCAAAAACAGGAGAAGAUGGAUGUUCAGGCUCAAGAAUAGAAAAAUUCAUUCUUCAUCCACCUUUCUGUUUUAUCCUGGCACUCAAUAGACUGGAUGAUGUCCACUCACAUAGGUGAGGCUGGAUUAUCUUUACUCAGUCUACUGAUUCAAAUGUGAAUCUCUUCUGGAAACAUCCUCACAGACACACCCAGAAAUAAUGUCUUACCAACUAUCUGGGCAUCCGUUAGCCCAGCCAGGUUGACACAUACAAUUAACCACCACAACGUGGCUCAAAAGUCAAGAAGUAUAAAGAAAACAAAGUGAAAAGGUUUUUUUUUCAUCCCCAUCCAUUAUCUUCCAGUUUCCCCACCCUAUCCUCAUGGAGUUUGUAGUAUAUUGAACAGGUAGACCACCAAGAAAUUAUAAUAAGGUACAUUCAGUCUUCUCAUUAUCAGUAAUUUUUUACUACGUUUCUGGGUUCUGGGAGGAGGGUGUUACAGAAUGCUGAGCUGGGAAGCUUCAAUCAUGAGAUUUUAAUAUUUAUCAAUGAAGGGUUUAAAAAGAUGGAGAAUGAGUUAAAGGAAUUAACUGCCACAGAGAAAAAUAAAGUGGUCCCUUGUCCUACAUCUUGGAAUCUCUAUUGCGAUAAUUGCUAUGUGUGUGGCAACUUCCUGGAGGUUACUUAUUAAAAAUGUACCCUGAAGUAAUUCAUAUGUGUCAUGCUAAUGCCCUGUCCACUUCUUACUAAAAUGUAUGGGUUAAAAUUAACAGUAAUACUUUUGUCUGGAUACUGAAUCCAACUAAGUAGAAAUUACUCAUUUCUAAGUUGUAAUGUAUUGUAUAUAAAUGUAACAUUGUUAUAAUACAAUUAUAUGUAUACAAUGUAAAAAUGUAAUAUAUUGUGUAUAUGUACAAAUGUACAUUUGUUGUGAAAUAUUGUGCAAUAUAAUUGUAAUAUUUUCAAGCCCUAUAUGAAAAAGCUGUUAUUUGCAUGACUGUAUCCUAUGAAUAGUUAUGGAAAUGAAUAAAUAAGCU
rnacentral:lncRNA from 1 species